GCCAGGCAUAGUGGUGGAUGCCUGUAGUCCCAGCUACUUGGGAGGCUGAGGCAGGAGAAUUGCUUGAACCCAGGAGGCGGAGGUGGCAGUGAGCCGAGAUCGGGCCACUGCACUCCAGCCUGGGAGACAGAGUGAGACUCUGUCUCAA
rfam:Homo sapiens chromosome 16, GRCh38 reference primary assembly.